GUGAAAAUGAAGCGCGGCCAGCAGCUGCGGAGCCGGCAGUAAGAGAGAAAUACUCAGCGCGGACUAAACGGGGGGGUCUCAAUGAACGGCGUAACCGGGGGGGCGGGGCUCCGCGCAGGCGAUGACCGGGAAGACGUGAGGUUGAUCGAUUUCUCGGAGUUUGAUUUCGCGUCCUGGUUCCCCAUCACGUAUUCCGUAUCGACUACCAAUGCCUGCUUGCCGCCGUAUGGCGCCGGUGUUUGAGUCUGUGCUGCCGUGUGGAGGCAUUUCUGCGAUUUAACGGGCGAGAGUGAGAGAACAUGGGCCGCCGUUCUUCAGACAGCGAGGAUGACAGCCAUAGUCGGAGAAAGAGGAAGCACAGACGGCGCUCCUCGUCCUCCUCCUCCAGCUCAUCAGGGAGCAGAGUGACGAGCCGAAGCAAACACUCCAGCAGGAGAAGUCGCUCCCGGUCCAGAGCCCGAGACCGAGAUCAAGAGAGAGACAGGGACCGAGAUAGGAGGCGAAGGCACCGUUCCAGCAGCAGCUCAUCCAGAGGUUCCAGCCACAGGAAGCGGAGUCGUAGCACUGACAGGGGGCGGAGCCACAGAUCCCGGAGGUCUCGCUCCCGCAGCCGAAAGAGGUCUCGUUCCCGUCACCGCAGGUCCCGCAGUAGCGGCCGGUCCAGCAGGAGGCGCAGUCGUAGCCGGAGCCGAGGCCGGGACCGCAGCCAGCGCAAGACCCGGGACAGGGAAAGAGAGAGAGGACGGGACAGAGAGCGUGAGAAAGAGAAAGAUGCAAAAGCCAAGGAAAAGGAAAAACAAGGGGAGAAGUUAGAACAAAACCUCAGAAAAGCACAUACACUGUUUUCAGUAGUAUCCCGAAGCUGUGUGCUGCCCUCUGUGGUGUCCCAGCAGAGUGCUGGACUGAUAGGGAGCCCAAGAGGAGGAAACAGCUACAGAAGUCAGCAGAGAUACGCAUGCACACCUCUCACAAAGCCUUUAGUGUUCUAUAGAAGAUAAUUAGUUCCAGUGCUGUAGCUUGCUCUGCUCUGUACUGGAGGCAGGCUGGAUGGAGGACGCCUCAGGUGUUGCUGCUGCACGUCCUAAUUGCUGUGUGUGGGCAACACAGGACCACCGUCGGCACACAAACCCGCCAUGCCUCAGAGAUACCUCACUGAAAACUUGGCCACCGCACAUAGAGCUAUAAAACUGUCACAAUC
ensembl:lncRNA